rnacentral:rRNA from 1 species
UUUAUACUGUAAAACUGCGAACGGCUCAUUACAUCAGCAAUAAUUUAUUUGAUGAUUUCUUACUACAUGGAUAACUGUAGUAAUUCUAGAGCUAAUACAUGCGCAAAGUCCUGACUCGCGAGGGGAGGGAUGUAUUUAUUAGAUACAAAACCAAUGCGGGUUCUGCCCGCCAUUGUGUUGAAUCAUAGUAACUUAUCGAACGCCAUAGCCUUGUGCUGGGCGUAGAUCAUUCAAAUUUCUGCCCUAUCAGC